GAUCAACGCUGGCGGCGUGCCUAAUACAUGCAAGUCGAACGGGGCAUCCUUCGGCUUGCUUCCGUGGCGUUCGGGGGGGGCACACGUGUGCAACCUGCACAGAGUUCCUGUGUAGCCGCCGGAAACUGCGGAUAAUUCCGCUUGAACCCAAUGCCCGGUUGAAGGGCUGAGUUAAAGAUUGCGAGAGUCUCUUUGGGAUGCGCCUGCGUCGGUUUACCCUGUUUGUGGGGUAACGUCGUACCAAGGCGGUGAUCGGUAGCUGGGCUGAGCGGACGGCCAGCAACACGGGGAGUGAGACACGGCCCGGAAUUCUACGGGAGGGGGCAGAAAGGAAUCGUACGAACUGGGCGAAAGGCUGACGGAGCAACGGCGCGUGAGGGAGGGCGCCUUUCGGGGUGUAAAUCCCUUUUUUUGGGGGCGACGACCGACGGUACCCGAGCAAGAAGGAACGGCUAACUACGUG
rnacentral:rRNA from 1 species